rnacentral:rRNA from 1 species
CAAGAGCGUAUGUAAAAGUUGUUGCAGUUAAAAAGCUCGUAGUUGAACCUUGGGUUUGGUUGGCCGGUCCGCUUUUUUGCGAGUACUGGAUUCAACCGAGCCUUUCCUUCUGGCUAACCAGUCGUUUCUGCGGCUGGCGAACCAGGAUUUUUACUUUGAGAAAAUUAGAGUGUUCAAAGCAGGCAUUAGCUUGAAUAUAUUAGCAUGGAAUAAUAGAAUAGGACGUUAUGGUUCUAUUUUGUUGGUUUCUAGGACCAUCGUAAUGAUUAAUAGGGACGGUCGGGGGCAUCAGUAUUCAGUUGUCAGAGGUGAAAUUCUUGGAUUUACUGAAGACUAACUACUGCGAAAGCAUUUGCCAAGGACGUUUUCAUUAA